rnacentral:rRNA from 1 species
GGUAGUCCACGCCGUAAACGAUGGCCACCAGGUGUGGGGGGUAUCGACCCCCUCCGUGCCGAAGCAAACGCGAUAAGUGGCCCGCCUGGGGAGUACGGCCGCAAGGCUAAAACUCAAAGGAAUUGACGGGGGCCCGCACAAGCAGCGGAGCGUGUGGUUUAAUUCGACGCAACGCGAAGAACCUUACCAGGGCUUGACAUGCUAUGUUCAGUCCGUGAAAGCGGAUGGCCCUUCGGGGGCGAAUAGUGCAGGUGCUGCACGGCUGUCGUCAGCUCGUGCCGUGAGGUGUUGGGUUAAG